rnacentral:rRNA from 1 species
GUGGGGAAUAUUGGACAAUGGGGGGAACCCUGAUCCAGCCAUGCCGCGUGUGUGAAGAAGGCCUUUUGGUUGUAAAGCACUUUAAGCGAGGAGGAGGCUACCGAGAUUAAUACUCUUGGAUAGUGGACGUUACUCGCAGAAUAAGCACCGGCUAACUCUGUGCCAGCAGCCGCGGUAAUACAGAGGGUGCGAGCGUUAAUCGGAUUUACUGGGCGUAAAGCGUGCGUAGGCGGCUUUUUAAGUCGGAUGUGAAAGCCCCGGGCUUAACUUGGGAAUUGCAUUCGAUACUGGGAAGCUAGAGUAUGGGAGAGGAUGGUAGAAUUCCAGGUGUAGCGGUGAAAUGCGUAGAGAUCUGGAGGAAUACCGAUGGCGAAGGCAGCCAUCUGGCCUAAUACUGACGCUGAGGUACGAAAGCAUGGGGAGCAAACAGGAUUAGAAACCCCGGUAGUCC